CUUCACUUGUCGGAGUGCUUACAUCUACUUAAUUGUGAGAUGAUAGCUGAGACCGUGAAAACGGGAUCCGUUGAACCUGAUCAGGCUAAUACCUGCGAAGGGAACAGGAGAAGAUAUUUU
rnacentral:ncRNA from 1 species